UCCAAGUUCCGGUCGAUCUUAUGUGUCCAUGUCUGUUUAAUGGAACACGUACGCAUCGAUUGCACAAAGAAGUUUUUUGUUGUAAUUUGGAAGGUAAAAUACAGUUNCUUGCACAUUACGAUAAACUGAGCAUACACUGUAUGAAUUUUUUGUCAUACAAAGAAGCGUAAAAUUUCAGUGUAAAANGGGAAAAUUAAA